AACGUAGGUGGCGAGCGUUAUCCGGAUUUACUGGGCGUAAAGCGUGUGCAGGCGGACUGUCAAGUGGUGUAUGAAAUCGCCCGGCUUAACCGGGCGGGGUUAUGCCAGACUGGCAGUCUGGAGUGUGAGAGAGGGGCGUGGAAUUCCGGGUGUAGUGGUGAAAUGCGUAGAGAUCCGGAGGAACCCCAGAGGCGAAGGCGGCGCCCUGGCUCACAACUGACGCUCAGACACGACAGCAUGGGGAGCGAACGGG
rnacentral:rRNA from 1 species